GUGUCAGCCGCCGCGGUAAAACGUAGGAGGCAAGCGUUAUCCGGAUUUACUGGGCGUAAAGGGCGUGCAGGUGGUUUCGUAAGUGGUGCGUGAAAGCGCCCGGCUCAACCGGGCGAGGCCGUGCCAAACUGCGAGACUGGAAACAGGCAGAGGAAAGUGGAAUUCGGGGUGUAGUGGUGAAAUGCGUAGAGAUCCCGAGGAACUCCAGUGGCGAAGGCGACUUUCUGGGCCUGCUUUGACACUCAGACGCGAAAGCAUGGGGAGCGAACGGGAUUAGAUACCCCCGUAGUCC
rnacentral:rRNA from 1 species